rnacentral:rRNA from 1 species
UACGUAGGGUGCAAGCGUUGUCCGGAUUUAUUGGGCGUAAAGCGUGCGCAGGCGGUGAUGUAAGACAGAUGUGAAAUCCCCGGGCUCAACCUGGGAACUGCAUUUGUGACUGCAUCGCUGGAGUGCGGCAGAGGGGGAUGGAAUUCCGCGUGUAGCAGUGAAAUGCGUAGAUAUGCGGAGGAACACCGAUGGCGAAGGCAAUCCCCUGGGCCUGCACUGACGCUCAUGCACGAAAGCGUGGGGAGCAAACAGG